rnacentral:rRNA from 1 species
AGCGAACGCUGGCGGCAGGCCUAACACAUGCAAGUCGAACGAAGUCUUCGGACUUAGAGGCGGACGGGUGAGCAACACGUGGGAACGUACCUUUUGGUUCGGAACAACUCAGGGAAACUUGAGCUAAUACCGGAUGAGCCCUUAGGGGGAAAGAUUUAUCGCCGAAAGAGCGGCCCGCGUUAGAUUAGCUAGUUGGUGAGGUAAAGGCUCACCAAGGCUACGAUCUAUAGCUGGUCUGAGAGGAUGAUCAGCCACACUGGGACUGAGACACGGCCCAGACUCCUACGGGAGGCAGCAGUGGGGAAUCUUGCGCAAUGGGCGAAAGCCUGACGCAGCCAUGCCGCGUGAAUGAUGAAGGUCUUAGGAUUGUAAAAUUCUUUUACCAGGGACGAUAAUGACGGUACCUGGAGAAAAAGCCCCGGCUAACUUCGUGCCAGCCGCCGCCGUAAAAC